rnacentral:ncRNA from 1 species
AAAAAUUAGCGCCGGGUCUGUCUGCACUGUUUUGACAGAUGACGAGGAAGAGGUUAUCGAAACAUUCGGCGGAUGCCUCUUGCCCCAUAAGUGCGGGGGUAACGGCACGCGUACAAAGCCCGUCGGCGACGACGGAACAGAAGCG